UACGUAGGGUGCGAGCGUUAAUCGGAAUUACUGGGCGUAAAGUGUGCGCAGGCGGCCGCGCAAGUCGAGUGUGAAAGCCCCGGGCUUAACUUGGGAAUUGCGCUCGAAACUACGUGGCUGGAGUGUGGCAGAGGAAGGUGGAAUUCCAGGUGUAGCGGUGAAAUGCGUAGAGAUCUGGAGGAACACCGAUGGCGAAGGCAGCCUUCUGGGCCAACACUGACGCUCAUACACGAAAGCGUGGGGAGCAAACAGG
rnacentral:rRNA from 1 species